GUCUACGGCCACGUUACCCUGAACAAGCCCGAUCCCGUCUGAUCUCGGAAGCUAAGCAGGGUCAGACCUGGCCAGUACUUGGAUGGGAGACUACCUAGAGAUCAGGUGCUGUAGGUG
rnacentral:rRNA from 1 species